rnacentral:rRNA from 1 species
UACGUAGGGGGCAAGCGUUGUCCGGAAUUACUGGGCGUAAAGCGCACGUAGGCGGCUUGUAAGUUAGAGGUGAAAGCCCGGGGCUCAACUCCGGAAUUGCCUUUAAGACUGCAUCGCUAGAAUUGUGGAGAGGUAAGUGGAAUUCCGAGUGUAGAGGUGAAAUUCGUAGAUAUUCGGAAGAACACCAGUGGCGAAGGCGACUUACUGGACACAUAUUGACGCUGAGGUGCGAAAGCGUGGGGAGCAAACAGG